ensembl:miRNA
AAACGUUCGUUCAGGUUUUUCUAGAAUAUUUUGCAGGAAAACACGAACAAACUUUUUG